rnacentral:rRNA from 1 species
UGGGGGAUAUUGCACAAUGGGCGAAAGCCUGAUGCAGCGACGCCGCGUGGGGGCUGAAGGCCUUCGGGUUGUAACCUUCUUUUGCUCUGAACAAGGCAUGCUAAUGGGUGUGUUGAGUGUAGGGGUUGAUUAGCGCCGGCUAACUACGUGCCAGCAGCCGCGGUAAUACGUAGGGCGCGAGCGUUGUCCGGAAUUUUUGGGCGUAAAGGGUUUGUAGGUGGCUGGUUGCGUCUGUCGUGAAAGCUCAUGGCUUAACUGUGGGUUUGCGGUGAGUACGGGCUGACUUGAGAGCAGUAGGGGAGGCUGGAAUUCCUGGUGUAGCGGUGGAAUGCGCAGAUAUCAGGAGGAAUGCCGGUGGCGAAGGCGGGUCUCUGGGCUGUUACUGACACUGAGGAGCGAAAGCAUGGGGAGCGAACAGG